ensembl:snRNA U1 U1 spliceosomal RNA
AUACUUACCUGGCAGGGGAGAUACCAUGAUCAAGAAGGUGGUGGUUUUCCCAGGGCGAGGCUUAUCCAUUGCACUCCGGAUGUGCUGACCCCUGCGAUUUCCCCAAGUGUGGGAAACUCGACUGCAUAAUUUGUGGUAGUGGGGGACUGCGUUCGCGCUUUCCCCUG